rnacentral:tRNA from 1 species
GGGUUAGCUCAGUCGGUUAGAGCAUGGUGCUGAUAACACCAAGGUCGCGGGUUCGGUCCGCAUUC